rnacentral:rRNA from 1 species
AUACGGAGGGUGCAAGCGUUGUCCGGAUUUAUUGGGUUUAAAGGGUGCGUAGGCGGCCCGUUAAGUCAGUGGUGAAAGGUAUCAGCUUAACUGAUGAAGUGCCAUUGAAACUAGCGGGCUUGAGUACAGACGAGGUAGGCGGAAUUUAUGGUGUAGCGGUGAAAUGCAUAGAUACCAUAAAGAACACCGAUAGCGAAGGCAGCUUACUAGACUGAGUCUGACGCUGAGGCACGAAAGCGUGGGGAGCAAACAGGAUUAGAUACCCCAGUAGUCC